rnacentral:rRNA from 1 species
UACGUAGGGGGCAAGCGUUGUCCGGAAUCAUUGGGCGUAAAGCGCGUGUAGGCGGCUCGAUAAGUCUGCUGUGAAAGUCCAGGGCUCAACCCUGGGAUGCCGGUGGAUACUGUCGAGCUCGAGUCCGGAAGAGGAGUGUGGAAUUCCUGGUGUAGCGGUGAAAUGCGCAGAUAUCAGGAGGAACACCAAUGGCGAAGGCAGCACUCUGGGACGUGACUGACGCUGAGGAGCGAAAGCGUGGGGAGCGAACAGG